AGGUGUAGUCAACAUGCAGUACCUCGCCGCGUACGCCCUCGUGGCGCUCUCUGGCAAGACGCCGUCGAAGGCGGCCGUUGAGGCUGUCCUGAAGGCCGCCGGCGUUGCCGUGGAUGCUUCCCGCGUGGAUGCCGUCUUCCAGGAGCUCGAGGGCAAGAGCUUUGAUGCGCUGGUGGCCGAGGGCCGCACGAAGCUGGUGGGCUCUGGCUCUGCCGCUCCUGCUGCCGCUGCCUCCACUGCUGCAGCCGCCGCUGCCGUGGUUGCCGAGGCAAAGAAGGAGGAGCCCGAGGAGGAGGCCGACGAUGACAUGGGCUUCGGUCUCUUCGACUGAGAAGCCUCCGUGAGUAGUCUACUGUCGUUACUUUCUGACUUGUUUCAUUUGCCUUGCUUUCCUUCCGCGAGCAAAAAGCAGCGUAAGCAAACAUCCAUCCCCGUCGAAGCGAUGCUACCAAACGGUCUCCUUGCUGCCAUUAUCCCCUUAGUAACGGCGGCCUUCCCUCCUUCCCACGCCCUCAGCUCAUCUCCACCAAUCGAUCACCUUCUCUUGUGUCUCUUUUCUUGGGUUCCUUCUUGACGUAUCCUGCAUCGACCAUGGCCAG
rnacentral:misc_RNA from 1 species